GUCUUUGGAUGGCUGUGCAGGAUCUUCUGUAGACGUUGAAGGUACUGGUUCUACUGGCCUCUCCACGUUGGUGAAGUACUUGGAGAUGUCCGUCUGGAAGGAAAUCUUCCUCUUUUCCUCCCAGAUCUCACAGUAGCACCGUACACUGUCCAUCACUCCCCUUGAAGCUUUCGAAAAUCGUUCCAUAUUGGGAUC